GCAGUCGUGGCCGAGUGGUUAAGGCGGUGGACUAGAAAUCAUUGGGGGUCUCCCCGCACAGGUUCGAAUCCUGUCGACUGCG
rnacentral:tRNA from 1 species